GUACUGAAAAGGAAAUAUUUUAAGAUAGAAAAAAAGAUUUUAAAAAGAUUACCUUUUGUAUCAGGGUUUAUUAAUAAAAAUUUUAUAUUAAAUAUUUCUCGAAUAAAAUUGAUUUUAAAAAAAUAGAGUAUUUUUAUAGAAAAAAAAAUAUAAAAUUUUUUUAGGAAAUGAAAUUUUUAUAGUAAUUUUUAUUUCUAGUUAAAAGAAUAAUAUUUUAUAUAAUUCUUUUAGUUUUUAUUUUUUAUAUAAUAAAGUAAAAGAAUAUAUUUUUUGGGUUAAUCUAAAAAAUUUUUAAUAGAGUUUAAAUAAAUAAAAUAAGAAGAUUUAGAAUUUAUUGAUUUUUGUAAUAAAGAAUAUAGGUUGAUAAAAGAAUUUUUAGUAGGAAAAUAAUAAAAUAAAAUAGAAAUUUUAAAAAAUGAUGAUAAAAUUAGUAUAACAAUAAUUUUUUUUUAUAAGAAUUAGGCAAAAUUUUUAUUAUUAACUGUUUAACAAAAACAUUUUUUUUUGUUUUUAAAAAAAAUAAUUUCUGCUCAAUGUUUGAAAAAUAAAUUGCUGUAGAAUUUUAACUAUACGAAGGUAUUGAAAUAAGGUCUUAAAUGGGUGCUAAGAGAAUGGAGUAAUAAUUAUAGGCUUUUUUUAGAAAAAUAUAUAGAAUUUUUUGAAAAAAUAAAAAAAUUUUUAUUUUAAAAUGGGACAAGAAGACCCUAAGAAUCUUUAAUUAUUUAUAUUGGUUGAAAUUUAUAAAUAAUUUUAAUUGGGGCGAUUGAAAAAUAAAAAGUAACUUUAUUUUGAAAGUUAAUUUAAAGUAAAAGGUAAAGAUACUCUAGGGAUAACAGCGUUAUUAUUUUGGAAAGUUCAUAUUGAUAAAAUAGUUUGCGACCUCGAUGUUGAAUUAAUGAACCUUUAAGGUGAAGAAGCUUUAAAAGGUGGAUUGUUCCUCCAUUAAAUCAUUACAUGAUUUGAGUUCAGACCGGCGUAAGCCAGGUUGGUUUCUAUCUAUUGAUAAAUUUAUUAUUUUUUAGUACGAAAGGAAUAGAAAUAAAUUAUAAUAGUUUCUAAAAAUAGUGCAU
rnacentral:rRNA from 1 species